rnacentral:rRNA from 1 species
GAUGAACGCUGGCGGCGUGCCUAAUACAUGCAAGUCGAGCGAACGGACGAGAAGCUUGCUUCUCUGAUGUUAGCGGCGGACGGGUGAGUAACACGUGGAUAACCUACCUAUAAGACUGGGAUAACUUCGGGAAGCCGGAGCUAAUACCGGAUAAUAUUUUGAACCGCAUGGUUCAAAAGUGAAAGACGGUCUUGCUGUCACUUAUAGAUGGAUCCGCGCUGCAUUAGCUAGUUGGUAAGGUAACGGCUUACCAAGGCAACGAUGCAUAGCCGACCUGAGAGGGUGAUCGGCCACACUGGAACUGAGACACGGUCCAGACUCCUACGGGAGGCAGCAGUAGGGAAUCUUCCGCAAUGGGCGAAAGCCUGACGGAGCAACGCCGCGUGAGUGAUAAAGGUCUUCGGAUCGUAAAACUCUGUUAUUAGGGAAGAACAUAUGUGUAAGUAACUGUGCACAUCUUGACGGUACCUAAUCAGAAAGCCACGGCUAACUACGUG